AUUUAGUGCAGACUUAGCAUGUCCGUGCUCUCCACCACUCAAAGAUGAGCUGCCAUUCUCUCUCUGUGAAUAAAAUACACUACGUACCAUCCACACCUCACGCCCUGGAAGAAGCCAUAUGUAGUGGAGGUGGCAGUUGUGCUGGUCUAUACUUAUGGGGGAAGUGGCGGUUGUGCUGGUCGAUACUUAUUGGAGAGGUGGCGGUUCUGCUGGUCUAUACAUAUUGGAGAGGUGGCGGUUGUGCUGGUCUAUACUUAUUGGAGAGGUGGCGGUUGUGCUGGUCUAUACUUAUUGGGGAGGUGGCGGUUGUGCUGGUCUAUACUUAUUGGGGAGGUGGCGGUUGUGCUGGUCUAUACUUAUUGGGGAAGUGGCGGUUGUGCUGGUCUAUGCUUAUUGGGGAGGUGGCGGUUGUGCUGGUCUCAUGUUUGCCUAUUUUACUCUUUGGGCUUGAUUAGUUGUCUGGGUCCUAAACCUUAUAUUCUGAUACUCUAGGGUGUUGCCUGGGAGUGUUUACUGUAGACUCUUGUAGACCCUUUAAUAUUUGGGGUAACCGGCAUCUCUACGUUUAUGUACCUGACUGCACUGCAUUUACCGUUCUGGGAGUGAGGGACAUCUACUUUUUUUAACUACGUUUUUUAUGUG